CCUACGGGUGGCAGCAGUGAGGAAUAUUGGUCAAUGGUCGGGAGACUGAACCAGCCAAGCCGCGUGAGGGAUGAAGGUACAGAGUAUCGUAAACCUCUUUUGUCAGGGAACAAAGGCGGGGACGUGUCCCCGGAUGAGUGUACCCGAAGAAAAAGCAUCGGCUAACUCCGUGCCAGCAGCCGCGGUAAUACGGAGGAUGCGAGUGUUAUCCGGAUUUAUUGGGUUAAAAGGGUGCGCAGGCGGUCGGUGAAGUCAGCGGGAAAAGCCCGGGGCUCAACCCCGGCCCGCCGUUGAAACUGGCAGUCUCGAGUUGGAGAGAAGUAUGCGGAAUGCGUGGUGUAGCGGUGAAAUGCAUAGAUAUCGCGCAGAACUCCGAUUGCGAAGGCAGCAUGCCGGCUCCACACUGACGCUGAGGCACGAAAGCGUGGGUAUCGAACAGGAUUAGAUACCCUGGUAGUC
rnacentral:rRNA from 1 species